rnacentral:rRNA from 1 species
UACGUAGGGGGCAAGCGUUGUCCGGAAUUAUUGGGCGUAAAGAGCGCGUAGGCGGUCCGAUAAGUCGGCUGUGAAAGUCCAGGGCUCAACCCUGGAAAGCCGGCCGAUACUGUCGGACUAGAGUCCGGAAGAGGCGAGUGGAAUUCCCGGUGUAGCGGUGAAAUGCGCAGAUAUCGGGAGGAACACCAAUGGCGAAGGCGGCUACCUGGACCGGUUCUGACGCUGAUGCGCGAAAGCGUGGGUAGCAAACAGG